CAGAGUGAUGAUAGAGAGGGGAAGCUGCACCAGAUUGAGGAGGGAAAGAAGAAGGAAAUGAGCGACCAGUGUUGUCGGAAG
rnacentral:snoRNA from 15 species